GGUAAUGGGAGAAGCAAAGCCGAGAAGUUGAUGCUUGCUCCGAGCCCCACGCGGUCCUUCAUCGGUGGCUCAAGUCGCCUGUCAAUCAUCGCGCCCUGAGUGGGAUCGAGCUCUCGCGUAAACUCCACACAGAACAGCCAGAAUGAGUCACGGACCAUAUCAUGCCUUGGAUCAUACUUCACCUCCUUUAAGUUCUCCAGUAACUUCCCAUGACAUUGGAAUUAAGGCUACACUUCUCAGAAGGUUGGCUGCAAGCCUGCUGUAGAAGGUCCAGGCCCUGCAUCGGGUUACAGCUGCCUGCAGAGGGACAGAACCCUGCUCUUCCUGGUGCUCUCCUGAGGGAAGAAACCUUUCCAGAAGUCCCCUCUCUAGCAGACUAUUCACAUCUCCUUGGCUAGAAUGGAGUCACAUACAAAUUCCUACCGUGGUGGGGAGGGGGUUGUUAUCGAUCCUGACUACAGGUUCCUGUUCUAUUUCGUGUGUUGUGUGCAUCGGGCAAUUUUGUAAACUCUAGACUCCUCAGAGUGAUGUUUUAACUUUAAACAAUUGGAAUCAACUGUAGAGUGCUAUACUUAUGAAAAUCACUAAAUUCACAGCCUAUAGAUAUAUGCUAUCUUUUAUUGAUUACAACUAGAUUUUUUGUUUCCAAGACAAGGUU
rnacentral:sRNA from 1 species